UUCACAAUAGACAGAACUGCCCCAUAGGGUUUCCAAGGAGUGGCUGGUGGAUUUGAACUGUUGACCUUUUUAAUUAAAGGCUGAGUCCUUAAACACUAUGCAACCCAGUACUCCACAACCAUAUGACGGACACAAAAUUAGUUAGCACUUCCAACAUAAAAAAGGAAGUAGUUGUGCUUCUCAGAAAUUCUCAGCCUUUGAGAUUUAGAAAAGCUGAUAGAAGAAAAGUGCAGAUCUAAAGCUGAAGAGGCGUGGAGUUGGGGAGGGUGGUGGUAUCUGGGCAGGAGAACCGGGAAGCACUUGCUCAGAGCCUCUUCCAGCACUUGUCAGACACACAGCCAACACCAUAGGCUUGAGGAAAUGUAGGUCCAGGGGCUUACCCUCCUAGACUUUUGGUCUUACGGUUUUCUCAUUGGUUGGUCCUAGGAUUCUUGAAGUGGAAUGAGAGAGGAUGAGGCUACUUUUUGACUUCAGUUUGGGAUGAUUCCAGUGCCCCUUUACAGCACAUUUUUGCUGUCAUGACGACCCCACUGAGAUCGCAACAGACCACACCAGGGGAUGACUCUGAUGUAUCCCAGGCAGGACAGGCAGAGAAAUUCUUGAGGGGGGUACUCAAGGACCUUGGGGUUAUCCAGAUCCUGAUUGCUUUGAUAAAAUUCAGCUUGGGAAUAAUAUUGCUGUAUGUCUUGUUGCCAUUUUAUGGACCAGAACCCAUUUCAGUAUACAUAGGUUUCCAAAUGUGCGGGUCAGUAAUGUUUAUUGUUUCAGGGGCCUUGUCAAUUGCAGCAGGAACUAGAACUACAAAACAUCUGGAUCAAGGUAGCCUAGGACUGAAUAUCAUCAGCUCAGUCAUGGCCACCACAGGGGUCAUACUCAGCUUGAAUAUUAUUUCAUUCGACCACCCUCCUUGUGACUAUAGUCAGGCUCCAGAAAUUUGCGCCAUGAACAGGUCCAUGUUAACGCAUUGUGCUCCUGGAAAAUUCCCAAACUUCAUUCUAUAUUUUACAACUUUUCCGUUCCACUUGUUCCCAUGCGGAUACUAUUCUAAAACUUUAUUCUCCACAUUACCACUGUUAUGGAUUGAAUUUUCUCCCCCCAGAUGUUGAAGUCCUAACUCCUGUUCCUGGUAUGAACGGUCUAGUGUUCAUUUUAAGUGUGCUGGAGUUCUGCAUUGCUGUGUCCCUCUCUACCUCUGGAUGCAUACUAAAGUUUGGUAACUCUGGUGGGAGCGUGACCAUC